CCGGGCCCCGGGAGCGCCGCAUCCCCGGGAAUGCUGGUGCGGGUUUGUUCCGCUGGAUGUGUGGAGCUUCUCUGCUCUUUACGCUGUGUCAUAAGGCAAAUGGCACUGCUAUUAACUGGAAAAUGUGGUCUAGCAUACAUGAGGUGCAUUUAGAGUGACAGUUCUGUACCUUGAUCUACACUUAAUGGAACCACUGUGAAUGGAGCAUCUGGUAGAACAAGUUUUCAUGUAAGGACAUGUAAGGACAUAUGAAGAAGAAAUGACAUGCUCUGAUGGCAAACUCAUGCAUGCUUUAUCACGGGCACCUGAUGGAGGAAGUGCUUUCCUGUAGCUCCUGUUUCACAGGUGAUAAAUUCACCUGUUUGAUGCAGCCUUGCUUGAUGCAGCUGGUAAUGAAUUGUAUAUUUUUAAGUUUUAUCAGCGUUCUCAUCUGUUAGAAUUUCAUGCUUAGAUCUGUGGGAACUGUUUGUCAGUUGGUUUAGGGUUUCUUAGUGCUUCCUAGUUGAUUUUUUUAAAUAGCUAUAAUGUUAAACCAGGUGACCUGAUUAAUCUGUCAGAAUUUGAAAUGUGUUUUAAAAAUUGCCUACGUUAUAAGAAAUUUCUGUUGCCAUUUGUUCCUUUAAAUGUUCUGCAAUUAAUGAUAGAUGGCUUUAUUUUAAUGUGCCAAGAAAUAUCAAUGCAGAAAUAGCUACUGGAAUUUGAUGGCUCACUCACAGGCAAAUUUAUCAAAUAGGCUCAAGCAGUUGAGUUUGAUCCCAAAUAUCCUAAGUAUUCAUGUAUGAGGGUAUCCAUAUAUGAUGGAAUUCAUUAUGGUAAUGUUUAGCAGAUUUUGAUAUUCCAUCUUCACAUGUUUUUUUAAAAUGAAAUACAUAUUGUCCAUACCGUAGUAGGAGUAUUAAAGGGUAAUUGUAGAUACUCUUAAUAUUUUUCAUGCAAGUUCUUUGGCUUCAAGAUUACAAAUAACAGGGACCAAGUUAAGGCUUGUUGUGUUUUUAGAAAGUCUAACAGAUAAAAGAAAAGCAUGGGAACAAACUGAAGCAGUUAUCACAGUUAUUUAAAACCCCAGAGCAGAACUGUUGCCUGAGAUUAGGUCUCAUCCCAGAAUAGCCCAACAGAGGAAGCUGUAUCUCCUGCUGCAGUGGCAGAGGGGUCACUUGUGUGCCUGGGAUAAAGGUCCUGUCCUCUCCAGGACACCCAGAUGUCCUGUGAGACUCAGGAGCUCUGGGAUGCUCUGAGCACAGUGGGUUUAUGGCAGGAGCUCAGAUGAGCCCUGGAGAGCUCAGGCCUCAGUUCUGAGAGCUGUGCUGGAUAUUUGUGUGUCCUGUGCAGCUGCCUGUGCUCCCUGUGUCUGAUGCACCUCGUGACUCACAGGUUAUUAGCAGUAAUAUCUGAUAAUCCAGUGAAAGGAGAAAAAACAAAUUAAAUUGUUUUGUAAGAAACAUCUUUCAUUUGCAAUACUACUUCUUAGAAAAAGACGUUUUAAAAAUUUUUGUAAUGCAGAGAAAUAUUUAUGUACAAUUUAAAGUAAAAAUAUACAUCUUUUUCUACUUUUCAGAAAUUCACUUCAGUAAAAAAAGUAUGAACUUGUUUAAAACUAAAAGACAUUGCAAUUAGACCUGAUAAAUAAUUCUGGCUCAGAUAAGCCAUGUUCUAGCAUAUGCUUAUGCUACUGGUGCUAGUCAGAAAGAUAUAUCAGAAGUCUUGAAGAAGUUUGUGUAAAGUCUGUAAAGGUUAAUUAAGGAAAAAGUUAUUUUGAAAUUGAGGCAAUUUGUAAAAACCCUCCAGCUUUGCCCUUACAUUCUUUCACAGUAUGCAGGAUCCAGGGAACAAAACAUUCCAAAAUACUUUUGAACAGCUGCAAGAAGAAUUUAACUUUGUUACUGAAAAAGAUAUUAAAAAGUCUAAAUGCUUCCAGCUGUUGCAGUAGUAAAACUUGUGUUUAUAGGGAGAUACAGCAUACAGUAUUUCAGGAAUUUGGUGUUUCAGAUACAGUCUUUGUUUUAAACUUAUAUUUGAUAAGUUGUGUUACACUUAAUCUCUGAUUUUUUAAUAUUUUCUGAGUCAAUCUUUCCUGUUCUUUUAUAUGUUUAUGUAGCAGAGAAUUUUGUUCAUUAUCAACCUAAAUGCCAAGUUAGAGCUAUCUAUACUUUCAACACAUUUGGAUUUACUGUAAUUAGAAGCAUAUUAGAUAUAUUAGUUAAGAGUACAAAUUAAAAAUCCAGUAAGAAUUUUAUUAUAGCUUGCAAAAUGUUACUUAUAGGUAUUAGAUACAUAUUGAAAUGCUAUGGUACUUUGAAGAAAAUUCACAAUUUUUCUCUUGAAUAUUCGCAAAGUGAAGCUCUGGGUAAAAACUUUAAAAUGUAGUUAAUACCCAACAUUUUGAUUAGAUAACUGCAUCUGGCAUGCUGAUUUUUGUAGACUGCAAUCCUUCACAUUCUUGACUGGUGGGAUUGUAUAUUUAUGAAACUUUGUGACCCCUCACACGGAGCUGCCACAAUUUAUCAUGAGCUGGAGCUCUGAGGCAGAGCAAGGGUCAGCAAAGGCAGUGGCAUUACAGCAGUAUGGGCAUUAUUCCUUUCUAAUGGUUUGGGAAAAUUUCUGGGUUCUCUAAAGUGUGAACUCUUCAGCUACAUUUAGAAAUUUCCAAAGGACUCUGACAUCCUCUGAAAUACUUUUGCAGUUGAAAUGCUGGAAAUUUUUUUUCAAAAAGCCAACUGGUAUGAACUACUGUCUUUUCCUUCAUUAAAAAUUCUCAUUGCUCCUCUUUCAAUUAGUUGUUUCAAAAAUUGGAUAUCAUGAGAAUAUAUCUAUCACACCCCUAGAAGAGUUGUCCUAAUACUUAGAUAUCACAAUGCUUUAUUUCUGUCAUGUACUCCAGUUUAAAUUUACAAUCAGCUUCCUGGACUCCUUUGUGGUGUGCCCAUAUCUGCUAGUUCAGGAUCCCAUCCUAGAUAUGUUCUUCUUGUGCAGAGCUGAUAGGCUUUUGGUGGCACUCUGUGUUUGGGAAGUUAAAUUGACUUUCCUCACUCUGUCUCUAGAAUGCAAGUUUUCUUGUAAAUGUUUCUUGCAACUCUUUCUGAAGCUUUCCCAUUCAUUGAACUAAUAAAUUAGGGAUUUUUUUUUGGUAAUAAAUAUUUUCAUAGUGCUCAGUCUUUAUGGCAAGAUUAGCUAUGAAAUUAAUGGCUUUUAAAGUGUUUUCAUGCAAAGGAUAGGUAUAUUGUGGGAGUUACAAGUUUUUGAGGACCAUUUUUAUAGAGAUUUUUUUAUAGUUUCCUGCCAAUGUUUAUGCUUUUCUUGAUAGCUGCUGAUGAGGCCAGGAAAAACUGUGUGAGUUCCCAAACCAUACAGAGAACAUAAAUGAAAAUAAAACCUGUGAUGUUUGAUACAAACAACUGACACAUAGACUGAUAGUUUGAAGUAUCUACUAUCUCAAUUCUCAAACCCUUUGUAGCAUGGCAACCUUGAAAAAAAUCCCUUCCUGACUAAUGAUGCAGUUGUUAUCUUUAUAGAUUUUAUAAAAUUAUUUUAUACCCUUCUUGUAAACAGAUGUGUCCGCAUGAGUGCUGUCAGUGGCAGCUGUACACAGGGCUGUUCAUCACAUGCUUAUUUGAAGAGGUGUAGAUUAAAAAAUUCUGGUAAUUCCAAAGAAAUUAUAGUUGCAUGAGCAGAUGUCAGAAGCAGCUGAGUUACCUAUUCAUCUAUAGAACAUCCUAUGAGUGAACUGCCAGGUAAAAAGGGAGUUGGAAGGUAUCAGUAGGUGGCAGAAAAACACUGGUAUUACCUGUGGCUUUACCUGUGUAACCAGCACCUGACAUCUCUGCCUUUAUAAUAUUUUAAAGUUUCCAUCUUUCCCUGUGCUGAGCUCCAGACCCCUUUGCAAGACUUCUGUUUCCAUGUUUUCAGUUAUGACAGCCUAGUGCUGUAUUACUGUUCUUCAAAUAGUUCAAAUCUGUCAUCAGAGGGAACUUUCCAGAUGCUUUGAUGUGAAGCAGACAGCUUCUCUUUCCAUGAGAAGGGAAGUUUGAGGGGUGGUGAAAUGAGAAAGUGUUCUCAACACUAAGAACCCUUGAACUGAUACCAAAAUUGCUCUAGGAUACUGCAACCAUCAUUUGGAAUACUUAUUUUGCUCUUCUGUGGAUUUGAUUUUUUUUUUUUUUUGCUAGAUGUCAUUUUUGUAUCAGUUUGAAAAGGUGAACUCUGAGCUUAGGACUCUUGAGUCUUUGAUCUGCACAGCAUCAUUUUGGAUCCAGCAGUGCUUACUUCAAAGUACAAUAAUAUAUGAAAAUCAUGGCAGACUUCUGUGGGCUUUGGAAAUUAUAUGACUGCAUCAACUCUGUGCUCCAUCUUGAGCUAAGAAAACUGGCUAGAUCCAAGCUAGCAUAUGAGAAACCAGUUCUGCUAUCUAUACCAGCAGCACUGUUGGUUCUUGUUCAAUCUGCCAACAAAUAGUUUUAGCUUUGUGUUCACAGUGAUAUCAUCUUUGCUUUUGUUAGAAUGUGUUUCAGUUUCACAUUGGCCACUCAUAUGAGAAAGAACUGGAUUGGAUCAGUUAUCAGUCAGUUCUCAGCUCCUCUGGAGCAAUUGAAAGUAAUGCAAACUUAAAUAUAAAAUAUUUCUGUGGUAUUUGUAAAACUCUGUAGGAGCUUUUGUUGCUAUAAAAGUAAGGUGAUAAGGUUUUCAGAGGGAUGACACUCUGCAGAGUCCAGUAGUACAUGUUAUAGUACAUAUUAUAACAGCAGCUCCACUGUAUUAUAAUUUGUGAGAACUCUUGGUGUCCCUGUAUGCCUUGGAGCUGGUAUGAAGACAGCUCCCUACUUUUCUAGCAUGAUUCCAAAAAAGGCUUUUCCCAAAACCUUUUUAAGAAGCAUUUCUUUGUCUGAUUUGUGACUACAGUGAAAGGUGCUGGCAUAUUUCCCUCAUGGAGGCUCAAGGAGGAACUGAAAUUAAGUUUGUCUGAGCAACACAAGGAAUUCCAAGAAGAAUAGAAAGUUCAGUCACAAUAUUUGGAUUUUAGUCUAUUCAAGCUCCAGACUCUGUGUUUAGCCAUAGCUGAUGACUGUCUUGAGCAUAUACACAGUAGGAAGUUGGGAAUAAAAAAUUUAUUUAACGGGUAUUUCGAAUAUGGCUGUUUGAAAUAAAAUGUUUAAUAGGCUGUUUUAAAAUCCUUUUAUUGAAAUAAAUUUUAAAUAACUUUUUCAACUUGAAUAGGGGCAUGGAAAGUGAAUUGCAGAAUACUAAAUGUCUUAACAUGAUAGAAUAGAACCAUAGAAUGGUGUAGGUUGGAAAAGACUGCCAAGUCCAUUUAAUUUUACAAGUUCCUGAGAUUGUCAGUGUUUAAGUGCAUCAUUCCAAGGUACCUCUUCCACUUCUCUGAGACUAGAAAAGUGUUUCCCAAGAUAAUUUUUCCUCCUGGGAAAAGUCCACUACUGUUCUUCUUGUCAAGUGUUGGUGUCCUUUUACAGAACUUAGCAAGUAGAAUCCUUUGAGGAAGAUAUAAAUAAUUAAUUGUAGUGGAUUUCAUGUGCCUAUACCACAAGUUUUACUUGGAUACACCUUGAAUUAGACAUUUAUUUCCUAAUGCCUUGGAGCAUGUAAUAUUAUUUACCUACAUAAUUUUCCUCUGUAGUUAGGCUUUGAAGUUACAAAUCAAAGUAAUUUGUCUGUUCUAGUUCGUAGGAUACUGAAAGAAAUAGUUCUUCAAAGAAGAUGUAUUUCUAAAAGAAAUGUAAAGCACAAUUUUCAAAUAGAGUAAAUAAUAACUUGUGGUUUAACAAAGGAGGAAAGAGUUUUAGUCAUGAACUGUAUUAAAAGUGUUGAAUGUGCCACAAGAGCUAUUGAAUGUUGGUCUCAAAUAAGUUAUUUCAGCAUCCAGUAAAAAAAGCAGAAUUUGUGAAUUUCACAGAUUCCCCAAACAUUCUGAGCUGGAAGGGACCCACAAGGAUCAAGUCCCACUCUUUGACUGACAAUUUAAUACUGUAAUUGACAACUUGCUAGUAGUGGCUGUGGAAGCUGAACCAGUAAAAUGUAAUUUUAUCACAAUUCCUAAAGGUGUUUUUUCAAGGAUAUGUGCUUUUGUGUUUUAGAGCUAAGUCUUUAAUUCAAUAAAUGUUUGCACAUCUUUAUUUCUGUGCCUGGGAAAGCAUACAGCACAUGCAGAGUUCAGCAGAACUGAGUAUACACAUCUAUUAUACCACAAAAUUGUACUGAAAAGUAACUGUAUCAAGUCUAGGAAAGUGCUCUUCUUUCUGCAUUUAAUCAGAUUUACUGAGUGGAAGGUGGAAGAAAUCCCAUCAUAGACCCUAUUGACUAAUUUGCAUUAAGAGAUAUUUCUUCCUUACCUCCAUUAGUAUUUGGCUUAAAUCCUGAAUGAUUUCAUUAGCUAUGUAAGGGCUUAAUCUCUUGAAAAUCCUGCUAAGCUCUUGCCCUCAUUGAAAGCUGUGAUAAUUUGUUCUAGUUAAUUUUGAUUUAAAUAUAUAGCCUUUCAGUUCUAGUUAAUCAUCUUGGCUUUUUUUUUUAAUAAUAAUGACAAGAUGAAUAAGAACACAAUUUUUUUCUUUAUUUUAUUAUUUUGCAUCCCUCUGCUGUUUAGUCUUAGAAUCUUCUUUUAAACAAUACCACUUUUUUCAAUUUGUCAAUGCAGUCACUGCAAUUGUAAGUGAGGUAAAAUGAAAUACUUAUGGUAGUUGAUGUCUUUAAUCCUGUUUUUUCAACCUAAAGGAAUAUUUGAGACAGCUAUGAUUUUUGCUGUAAUUAUUCUUUUGACAUAUGAAAGACUUAGAUUUAUUCAGAGUUGUCCUGCACCUUUUUUCCAAAGGAAAGAGAACAACUUGCAAAAGGUUGUAGAAGAAAAUGCUUCUUUAAAUGUUUUAUAUUACUGCAAGUAUGUAAGGAAGCUAAAUAGUGUUUUUAAUUUCUUUUCUCAUGGAAGAACACAUAAUUUCUGUUACCCAUUUUGUGUUGAUAUAGGAGGGAAAAUUGCAUUUGUACUAACUCCAGAAAAAUUCUUUUGGAAUCUCUUAGUGGGGCUGUAUUGCAAGGGGAUGUUAUGAGCAGUUUGAUACUUUUUUAUCCUCUCCAGAAUACUGACUGCAUUGUGAAUGGGGAGAAUUUAAGAAUGUGGUGAUAGGAUGGUUUCCUGUUAAAAAAACCCAAGGCAUGUACUAAUAUCAAGAAUAAACAGGAACAUAUAAACAGGGAUGGCUUAUGGAAACAAACAAAACAGGCAGUUUUUUCCAGGAGAAAGUGGCAAUGGAAGUGCUUCCAAGCUAGUUUUGUGUUGUCACAGUCUGGCUGAUCAAGGAAGUGGAAAAAAUUCUUGAUGGUCUCUUGUAGGUGUAGUGCUGGCAUGCUUGCUGCCUUUUUAGCAACCAGCUCUCCCAAGCCUGAGGAUACUUUACAAGGAACUCCCAAAGGAGUCUUACAACCACCUCUGCGUAGUGGGAGGAUCCCUUUGGAGCACAUAACCCAAACCCAGGCACAGAAGUCUGAAGGGGACUUUCCUACCAGUUAGAGAACCCCUUGCCCAGUAAGGCCUUAUCCACUUUUCCCAUUUGCCAUUCAGCUGUUUUUGGAUGUGUGGCCACACACCUACUCCUUCAUCUGUCAGUGCAGAUAGUCUUCAAGGUAUUCAUAAUCUCUGCUAAAAGAGAAUGGAAUAUUCAAGUCCUUGGAGAUUGUCCUUACUGCACCACAGCAAACAGGAGCUAAGAUAAGGGCUGAGAUGGGAUGCAAGUCAGGAGCACAGAACUGCUCUCCAAAAUACAGGCACUUUGCCUGGAAACUCAGGCUUUGUGGUAUUUCUGAAGAAUUUCUACACCUCUGGAGAUCUGCAGCAGUGCUGUCUGGAGUGUCAUCAAUCCCCCUGCAAAAUCUGUCCAUCCAAGCAUACAGAAGCACUUAGCAAAGCCUUGCUGCUCUUUGUGUUCUUAAAAUAAACAAACAAAUAGAGAACUCUUAAGUAACAUAUCUGAUAGUUGUUGGAGAGGGUAAAGCAGAACACCAUUUGGCAAAAUCUUUCAUGACAUCAUGUUAACAACAGGCAGAUUGACAAUCUGUCCUCCUCUGCAUGGAGUCUCAUUAAUAAAUCUGUAGGUCAGACUGAAGGGAGGGCAAGUGUUUUAAAGUUGCCAGUCUGGUGAGCUUGAGUACUGAAAUACCCAUAGUGUAACUGUGCAUACAAUAAUUUUCAAUUACUUCUAUUCAAUUUUAUGUUUUAAUUUUCUAAGUUUCUAAGCAAUGCUUUACAUAUUUUCUUUGUUUUCUUCAAGAUGAUAAAGAUAUCUAGAUACCUGAGGGUGCAUAGAAGAAGGAGUUUAAGGAGAAAAUAAUUAUGCAGUUACACAUUGUUUGGUUUGGGGUUUUUCUUUUCAAUGUCCAGUAGCCAAUGCUUUCCUUUGUCAGAAUGCAUGCCUUGUUUAUUGAAGUUAGAGAAAUUUCUUACAUUACCUUUAAUUCCAGGAAAGAGCAAACAGUCUAAAGUAAGCUUCACAAUUGUACUUGUGCCCUAACUUCUAAAAUAGCACUGAGAUGGAGACUAGAAACAGUGUGUGUUUUGUUAUUGCUGCUUUACUUGGUGUUUCAAAAAAUUGCUGUUGACCACCUUUUAAUACAGGAUGACCAACUGGGCACUUGCACUCACUCAGAUAAGGCCUUAUCACAAGACUUUUGUUCCUGUGAACAUUCAGAAUGCAGAGUCAAUAAAUUAUUGCAGGAAUAUGCUACAUUACUUUCUGGCUUAUAUAUAUAUUUUAACCACAGUAUUAGAGUUGGAAAAAGUUUUUAUUUCUGGUGAUGUGUCAGUCACUAAAAUGUUGACUUUAAAAUUCAGAUUUUAAGCUAAAUUUGCAAUGCUGGAAGACCAUAAAUAGCCUCACAUUUAAAGUAAAUAAUGAACCUGGGUCAUGGGAAGCAGAGAUAAGGCUUUUCUUGUUACGUACAAACACAAAAAUAGCUGGACUUGCAAUUUCAAAUCUGAAGCUGAGACUUCUACUGAAAUGUUGAAAAGUAUUUGGCAAUCCUUGUAGUUGUUAGGAGACUCAGAAAUGUCACGGGUAGUUCCUAUUUUGUAAUUACUGUAAAAAAAAAAAAAAUUUGAGAUUUCAAGGCCACAGUCUAGACAGACUUGACUUUUGCUGCCUUAAGAGUGAGGACAAAACUUCCCAGAUCAAAGUAUCCAUGUAAUAUGCAUGCUAUCAUUGUAUUAGAGCAUUGCCUUUGUUCCUUACAGGGAUGGAGUACAGCUUGCUCUCCCUCUGGCCCUAGAUCCUCCAGAAAUGUUUUCACUAUCAGUGGUUUAUUCCUAAAUGGAUGGGUAAAAGUUAAGAGGCCUCAUAAUUUCAUUUUUUAACUUUAGACAAAUUAGAUUUUAAGCAAGCUUAUUAAUUUUUGUGAGUCAGCCUUGCUACAAAUAUACAGUGUGCACAGUGUUACAAAGAAACAGAACUAUUUCUAGCAAGCAGCAGUUAUCAGAAGUUCAAAACAAUCAAAAAUAUCUGUGCUAGGAUACAUCAUGUGAUUCUACAGUGCCUGCAGCAUGACUGACCCUUCACAGCUAUUGUAAAUAACACAAGUGCUUGUGGCUCUUGACAAGAGGCUAUUGCCACAUCUCCUAAAUGAUUUCUAGUAUUAGAAAUCUGAGAUUGCCAGCAUUAAUGGUUGCUUUUUUGCAUGAGAACAAAAUGAAUUCCCCCCGCUGGCUCUUGAGCUACUCGAGUUCUUUUGUUCUUUAUUUCUUUGUUACAGCUGUGUACUAGACUCAUUGUUGAAGUGUACAAUAUUUAGCAUAUGCUGUGGCUGCAAUUAGUUUUAAAGCUCUUCCUGCACGAUUUCCUUCCUACUUUUUUUUCAAUUGUGAAGCCUGAGUGUUCAUGAAGCUUAUGAUAUGUCACAGAAAACAAGGGGGGAGGGAGAGAAAAAGUCCUUACAGCUUCAGCCAGC